rnacentral:rRNA from 1 species
GUGAGACAGUUUGGUCCCUAUCUGCCGUGGGCGUUGGAUAUUUGAAGGGGGCUGCUCCUAGUACGAGAGGACCGGAGUGGACGAACCUCUGGUGUACCGGUUGUGACGCCAGUCGCAUCGCCGGGUAGCUAUGUUCGGAAGAGAUAACCGCUGAAAGCAUCUAAGCGGGAAACUCGCCUUAAGAUGAGAUAUCCCUGGAGGCUUGACCUCCUUGAAGGGUCGUUCGAGACCAGGACGUUGAUAGGUCGGGUGUGUAAGCGCAGUAAUGCGUUCAGCUAACCGAUACUAAUUGCCCGUAAGGCUUGAUCCUAUAACA